rnacentral:rRNA from 1 species
ACCGGGGCUAAUAGCGGAUAAUUUUUUGAACAGCAUGGUUCCCAAUUUGAAUGCGGCUUCUGCUGUCGUUUAUGGAUGGACCCGCGACGAUCCAUCUAUGGGGUGAGGUAACGGCUCACCAAGGCAACAAUGCGUAGCCGACCUGAGAGGGUGAUCAGGCACCCUGGGACUGAGACACAGCCCAGACUCCUACCGGAGGCAGCCGUAGGGAAUCUUCCACAAUGGACCAAAGUCUGACGGAGCAACUCCGCGUGAGUGAUGAAAGCUUUCGGGUCAUAAAACUCUGUUGUUAGGGAAGAACCAGUGCUAGUUGAAUAACCUGGGGCCUUGACGGUACCUAAAUUUAAAGCCCCUGCUAACUACGUGCCAGCAUCCGCGGUAAUACGUAGGUGGCAAGCGUUUUCCGGAAUUAUUGGCCUUAAAUCCCGCGCAUGUGGUUUCUUAAAUAUGAUGUUGAAACCCCCAGCUCAACCGUGAAGGGUCAUUGUAAACUGGGAAACUUGAGUGCCGAAGACGGAACUGUAAUUCCUUGUGUAGCCGUAAGUUGCAUAGAGAUAUGGACGAACACCAUUGGAUACCGCGACUUUCUGGUCUGUAACUGACACUGAUGCGCCAAAGCGUGGUGAACACAUCGGAUUCGAUACCCUGGUAUUCCACACCCCACACGAGGAGUGCUGUCUGUUAAAGGGUAUCCACCCUAUUUUGCUGAAGUUCGCACAUUAAGCACUCCAUGUGGGUGAGUAUCGCAGCAACGCUGAAACUCAUACGAAUUGACGGGGGGCCCUCUCAACCUGUAGUAGAAUAGAGUUUUGAUUUCUAAGCAACGCAAAGAACACUUGACCAGGUCUUGACAUCCUCUG